GUGAGGAAUAUUGCGCAAUGGAGGCAACUCUGACGCAGCCAUGCCGCGUGCAGGAAGAAGGCGCUACGCGUUGUAAACUGCUUUUAACCGGGAAGAAACCCCAGGACGUGUCCUGGGUUGACGGUACCGGAGGAAUAAGCACCGGCUAACUUCGUACCAGCAGCCGCGGUAAUACGAAGGGUGCAAGCGUUAUCCGGAUUCAUUGGGUUUAAAGGGUGCGUAGGCGGGGCGUUAAGUCAGUGGUGAAAUCCUGCAGCUUAACUGUAGACUUGCCAUUGAUACUGGCGCUCUUGAGUGCGCUUGAAGUGGGCGGAAUGUGCCGUGUAGCGGUGAAAUGCUUAGAUAUGGCACAGAACACCAAUUGCGAAGGCAGCUCACUAAGGCGAUACUGACGCUGAGGCACGAAAGCGUGGGGAUCGAACAGGAUUAGAAACCCCAGUAGUCC
rnacentral:rRNA from 1 species